GAGUUUGAUCCUGGCUCAGAACGAACGUUAGCGGCGCGCCUAACACAUGCAAGUCGCACGAGAAAGGGCUUCGGCCCCGGUACAGUGGCGCACGGGUGAGUAACACGUGGGUAAUCUGCCUUCGAGUGGGGGAUAACAUUCCGAAAGGAGUGCUAAUACCGCAUAAGACCACGCCCUCGAAAGAGGAAGCGGUCAAAGCUGGCCUCUAUACAUAAGCUAGCGCUUGAGAAUGAGCCCGCGGAGCAUCAGCUAGUUGGUGAGGUAAUGGCUCACCAAGGCUUAGACGCUUAGCUGGUCUGAGAGGAUGAUCAGCCACACUGGAACUGAGACACGGUCCAGACUCCUACGGGAGGCAGCAGUGGGGAAUCUUGCGCAAUGGGCGAAAGCCUGACGCAGCGACGCCGCGUGAGUGAUGAAGGCCUUCGGGUUGUAAAGCUCUGUGGGGAGAGAAGAAUAAGUGCGGGCUAAUACUCCGCAUGAUGACGGUAUCUCCUUAGCAAGCACCGGCUAACUCUGUGCCAGCAGCCGCGGUAAGACAGAGGGUGCAAACGUUGUUCGGAAUUACUGGGCGUAAAGCGAGUGUAGGCGGUUUGGUAAGUCGGAUGUGAA
rnacentral:rRNA from 1 species